UUGGAAUUUUUUUUUUCAAAAACCGAAUUGGUUUCAACGCUGAGGUUGAAACCAGGUCGGUUUUUGCAAUUUUGUUUGAAUGAGGUCGUUUUUUGGGGUUAAGUUCACAAAUGGGUCCGUUUUGAAAAUUUGUCCACAUCUUUAUUCAUUGUGCAAGUUUAGAAACCCUUUUGUUUUAUUAUGAAUCUACGAAGUUGCUCAUUUCGUUAGGUGAAUGAAGUAGUAAGCGUUCUUUUCUAGGACAGUUCGUGCUGGUCAAUGAAAAUGUGUGCUUUUGUAAGGGUUACUAGUUGUGAGUUUGAAGGGAGAGGAAAGGGUUAAUAGGACAUAGUCACAUAGAUUAGAGAUGCAGUGGCUUAUGUUGAUGGUGGAGUUCGGUAAUCGACCUAUAGUUUAAAUUAUGACCCAGAAGAUUUUGAUGUGCAGAAGCUACAAGUCAUGUUACAAGAUGUCCUUUAUUUUAGCGAGAGGAGAUGUACCCACAAGACAUUGUAUGUAGUGUUGAUUAUUCACUUUCCGUUGAAAAAGGUAAGAUAAAUGAAAAAUGAAAUGUUUGAAGCUCUUUGAGAUAUGAAGAAAGCAUCAUAUUCAUAGGAAUGAAUGAAAUUAGAUGAGAACAUAAUACAUCUCUAGAACCAAUUGCUCCCUUUUGUAGCUAACUGCUUUUGUGGACUUCAACCCACUGAUUAUAACGCAACCUCACAUAGUUGCCUGCUAUAAACGCACAUGGUAAUUGGAACUUCCAUUUGAACUCUUCUGCUCUAAUAUCAAGAUAUGCUCCUCAUAAGCCAAAACGGCAGAGCACCUGGUUUACGGAUGAUUCAAUGGUUGAGCAAUCAGGUUGAAGGAGUAAAUUAUUGGUUCGUUGCGUGUAUACACUGCACCUAGGCACAGAAAUAGUGAAGGCAUCUAAUAUAUCUCAAGGGACGAGAGAUGUUUACUGGCUCAACUAAGAAAUCUGAGCAAGCUGGCGAUAAAAGAUGCAUUAGAGGCUUGAUCAUGGAUAAAGCUCGUUCCUUUGAGUUGUCAACUCAGUUGAUUCAGAGCUUGGUGUUAACCGAGUUUCUCUUAAAGCUUAAUCUAAUUUGAGUUCUUUGAGCGUAAUUAUAAUAGCUUGUAUACAGACCUUUUAACUUGUUAACUGCUACUUCUGAUUAUUAGAAAAUCUAGAAUGAUCAUCUGAUGUUGCCAAAUAAAUGCCUAGCUGUAGCCGUAUAUCAUGUCAGGGAGAGUAAUUGUCAGAUGAAUCAGUUCGAUUAAUCUGGGUUACAUGUGGAUUUGUUAUUCAUAGCUAACAGCUGGCGAACUAAUGAGAUGGAGACAUUUAUAAUGAAACUGUGGUGGCAGGUAGCAUAAUGAGAUGCUUUUGCAACAGUAUGAUUGCCACAUACAUUUUAAACCCUUCGAAAACUACUUCUGGUAAAAGCCAUGAAAGCUCUCCUGCUGUAUUCACCAUGUAAAGGAUGUCACAUUCAUAUUUUUAUAAAGACUAUCCGCUUGUAAUCACACGAAGGAGUUGGUAAAGGCAGAUGCUUGAUGGCCAUAUACCUCCUUAGAAAAUUGAUUCCAAUACAAAGGAUGAAAUCUGGUCUA